rnacentral:rRNA from 1 species
CCUACGGGCGACAGCAGUGAGGAAUAUUGGUCAAUGGGCGGGAGCCUGAACCAGCCAAGUCGCGUGAGGGAAGACGGUCCUACGGAUUGUAAACCUCUUUUGCCGGGGAGCAACGGGGUCCUUGCGAGGGCCCGAUGAGAGUACCCGGAGAAAAAGCAUCGGCAAACUCCGUUCCAGCAGCCGCGGUAAUACGGGGGAUGCGAGCGUUAUCCGGAUUUAUUGGGUUUAAAGGGUGCGUAGGCGGGCUGUUAAGUCAGCGGUCAAAUGUCGGGGCUCAACCCCGUCGUGCCGUUGAAACUGGCGUUCUUGAGUGAGCGAGAAGUAUGCGGAAUGCGUGGUGUAGCGGUGAAAUGCAUAGAUAUCACGCAGAACUCCGAUUGCGAAGGCAGCAUACCGGCGCUCAACUGACGCUCAUGCACGAAAGCGUGGGUAUCGAACAGGAUUAGAUACCCUAGUAGUC